GAUGAACGCUAGCUACAGGCUUAACACAUGCAAGUCGAGGGGCAUCAUUAUCGAAGCUUGCUUUGAUAGAUGGCGACCGGCGCACGGGUGAGUAACGCGUAUCCAACCUUCCCUAUACUAGAGGAUAGCCCGGCGAAAGUCGGAUUAAUACUCUAUGUUCUUCGUAGAAGACAUCUGAAAUGAAGCAAAGGUUUACCGGUAUAGGAUGGGGAUGCGUCUGAUUAGGUUGUUGGCGGGGUAACGGCCCACCAAGCCCACGAUCAGUAGGGGUUCUGAGAGGAAGGUCCCCCACAUUGGAACUGAGACACGGUCCAAACUCC
rnacentral:rRNA from 1 species